AUUGAACGCUGGCGGCAGGCUUAACACAUGCAAGUCGAGCGGAGUGAUGGUGCUUGCACUAUCACUUAGCGGCGGACGGGUGAGUAAUGCUUAGGAAUCUGCCUAUUAGUGGUGGACAACAUCUCGAAAGGGAUGCUAAUACCGCAUACGUCCUACGGGAGAAAGCAGGGGAUCACUUGUGACCUUGCGCUAAUAGAUGAGCCUAAGUCGGAUUAGCUAGUUGGUGGGGUAAAGGCCUACCAAGGCGACGAUCUGUAGCGGGUCUGAGAGGAUGAUCCGCCACACUGGGACUGAGACACGGCCCAGACUCCUACGGGGGGCAGCAGUGGGGAAUAUUGGACAAUGGGGGGAACCCUGAUCCAGCCAUGCCGCGUGUGUGAAGAAGGCCUUAUGGUUGUAAAGCACUUUAAGCGAGGAGGAGGCUCUUUUGGUUAAUACCCAAGAUGAGUGGACGUUACUCGCAGAAUAAGCACCGGCUAACUCUGUGCCAGCCGCCGCCGUAAAAC
rnacentral:rRNA from 1 species